GAGGCUGUGCCUGAAUAAAGGAACGCUUUGAUAGAGCGGAUAAUGGGGGUUAAAGUCCUCCCGGCCUCU
rnacentral:tRNA from 1 species